rnacentral:rRNA from 1 species
GCCUACGGGGCGCAGCAGUAGGGAAUUUUCGUCAAUGGGCGCAAGCCUGAACGAGCAAUGCCGCGUGAACGAGGAAGGUCUUCGGAUCGUAAAGUUCUGUUGAAGGGGAAAAAGAGCGGAGAGAGGGAAUGCUUUCUGAUUGAUAUUACCCUUCGAGGAAGUCACGGCUAACUACGUGCCAGCAGCCGCGGUAAUACGUAGGUGGCGAGCGUUAUCCGGAAUGAUUGGGCGUAAAGGGUGCGUAGGCGGCCUGCUAAGUCUGGAGUGAAAGGUACCGGCUCAACCGGUACAGGCUCUGGAAACUG